rnacentral:misc_RNA from 1 species
AAUGUCGUAACAAGGUUUCCGUAGGUGAACCUGCGGAAGGAUCAUUACCUAGAGUUGUAGGCUUUGCCUGCUAUCUCUUACCCAUGUCUUUUGGAGUACCUUCGUUUCCUCGGCGGGUUCGCCCGCCGAUUGGACAAUUUCAAACCCGUUUGGCGUUGCAACAGCGUCUGAAAAAAUCAUAUAGUUACAA